rnacentral:misc_RNA from 1 species
GUGCUCUUCUCCUAUACAUAUUCUCCAUUGACCAAAUAAUUUCUUCUCUUCUUCUGCUGCAGCUUCACUCUUUCCAAGCUAAACAUACUUAAUGGGUAGCUUGGGAAGUUUCAGGAGUUGUUCUGGUCUCUUUUUGGUUUACAUUGUUUUGAUAUCGUCUUUGAUCCAAGCAUCUGUAGUUGCUGCAGCUAUUAAAGGGCAUUUCUACAAAUGGGAAGUGGAGUACAUGUUCUGGUCUCCUGACGGUAAGGAAAAUGUGGUGAUGGGUAUCAACGGUCGGUUUCCAGGGCCGACGAUCAGAGCAAGAGCCGGAGAUACCAUUCAUAUUGAGCUACUAAACAAGCUCCACACUGAAGGUGUUGUCAUUCACUGGCAUGGAAUCAGACAGCUGGGGACUCCUUGGGCUGAUGGAACUGCUGCCAUUACACAGUGUGUUAUUAACCCUGGUGAAACCUUUUCUUAUAGGUUCACUGUUGACAGGGCGGGAACAUACUUCUACCAUGGACACUAUGGAAUGCAAAGAUCAGCAGGGCUAUAUGGGACUCUGAUAGUUGAUGUGGCAGAAGGAGAGAAAGAACCAUUUCACUAUGAUGGUGAAUUUGACCUAUUAUUGAGUGAUUGGUGGCACCAAAGUGUUCAUCAUCAAGAAGUUGGCCUCUCCUCUAUUCCAUUUCGUUGGAUUGGCGAGCCCCAGACCUUGCUCAUCAAUGGCAGAGGGCAAUAUGAUUGUUCUCUAGCAGCAAAAUAUAACAAAAACCUUAUCAAUGAGUGCAACAUAAAGGGAGGUGAGCAAUUUGCACCCUACAUCCUCCAUGUGCAGCCCAACAAGACCUACAGAAUAAGAAUCGCUAGUACCACUGCCCUAGCUUCUCUCAACUUGGCCAUUGGGGGACACAAGAUGCUGGUGGUUGAAGCUGAUGGAAAUUAUGUUCAACCAUUUCUGACCAACAGUUUGGACAUUUAUUCUGGUGAGAGCUACUCAGUCCUAAUAACCACAAAUCAAAAACCCAACAACUACUGGAUUUCUGCAGGAGUAAUAGGAAGGGAACCUCAUACCCCUCAAGCCCUAACUUUAUUAAACUAUCUGCCAAAUUCUGUUUCAAAAUUGCCCAAGUUUCCUCCUCCUGUAACUCCCCCAUGGAACGACACUGCUCGAAGCAAGGCGUUCACUAAAAAAGUUUUAGCUCACAUGAAUACUCCGAAGCCUCCGAAGAAUUACGACCGUCGGAUCAUCCUUCUAAACACCCAAAAUAAAUACAAUGGCUUCAUUAAGUGGGCAAUCAACAAUGUUUCCCUCUCAUUACCUGCAACUCCUUAUUUAGGCUCCUUGAAAUAUGGUCUUCAAGGUGCAUUUGAUCAAGCAAACCCACCCGAGAACUACCCUGAGACAUAUGAUGUGAUGAAACCACCAGUCAACACUAACACUACUGUUGGAAGUGGGAUUUACAAGUUUGGUUACAAGAACACAGUGGAUGUGAUUCUUCAAAAUGCUAAUGCAUUAACAACAGGCGUUAGUGAAGUCCAUCCAUGGCACUUGCAUGGUCACGACUUUUGGGUUUUAGGAUAUGGAGAAGGGAAGUUUACAAAUAAUGAUGAGAGCAAAUUCAACUUGAAGAAUCCACCUUAUAAGAAUACAGCAGUGAUUUUUCCUUAUGGGUGGACUGCACUGAGAUUUGUGGCAGAUAAUCCAGGGGCUUGGGCCUUCCACUGCCACAUUGAGCCACAUUUGCAUAUGGGUAUGGGUGUGGUUCUUGCUGAGGGAGUUGAACGUCUUGGUGAUAUUCCUCAUGAGGCUCUUGCUUGUGGUUUGACUGGGACGAGGCUCAUGGACACCCACAAGCACUAAGCCUAAAUAUUAACUUAUAGUUUAGGCCUAAAAAAUUGUCUACAUUUUUAUUCAGUGCAAACGGAUGUAUGCCACUUGCUAUCUAUAUAUGAGUAUUCUUAAAUAGAUACACUGUUGCUUUCUCUCCUUUUACUUUUCCUUGUACUCAGGGGCAUCAGCGCUUCAUAAUCCAAUAUUUUUCUUGAUCCAAGUAACCAAUAAGUUCUA